AAGACUAUACUUUCAGGGAUCAUUUCUAUAGUUCGUCACUAGAGAAGUUUCUCUGAAAGUGUAGAGCACCAUAUCGUGA
ensembl:snoRNA U3 Small nucleolar RNA U3